AGUCACUGUACCUACUUUCAGUUUAAUUUCUGUACUCAAAAGUUAGGUCUGUUUAUUAUUUGUCAUGUGCUUCUGAGAAGGAGGAGCAUUUUUCCUUCCUUAUUCUCUCACAUACAAACAGUUACACCAAUUGACAGAAAAACUCGGACACCUGAGCAGCUCACGCACAUUCAUAACCAUGGGAAAGAUCUACCAGGUCAUCGUGAUUGGAUUCAGAGGGGAGAAAAUGGUAAUAGACGUGAGCAAUACGGAAGAACAAAUGAACAGUAUGACAGUACUGCAACUGAAAAAUAAAAUUUCUGAAAGACUCCCGGGGAACUCAGGGGACAAUCUGGAGACCCUGCGACUGAUCUUCACAAACAAGCAGCUGGAGGACUCAUCCGUGCUCUCCUCAUAUGGGAUCCAGAACCAGUCUGUCAUUCAGCUAGUGAUGAGGGUGCCUGGGGGAUGGAGACAUUAACGAUUGGAGAGAAGAGAGAAUCUCUGCCUGCAUUUUGAUGUCUUUUUAAUACUGUAGUCUUGUUAUAUUAAUCUCACUGCCAAUCCCAUUGCCAAACCACACGAAGGAACUGAUGUUGAUAAAUGUAUGGGCUCUUUUUUUAAACAAAAUAUAAACAACAUGUGGCCAGAAAGCAUUUAGUUUAUUCUCUGAACCUGCUACCAGAACUUCUCAAUUCAUUUUUAUUUUAUCUGUGACUUCACUGUAUGGAAGUCUUCAACAACAACAAUAUUCAACAAUAAAUGAAUGUUCUCCCAAUUCUG